rnacentral:rRNA from 1 species
UACAGGGGGCGCGAGCGUUGCUCGGAAUCACUGGGCGUAAAGCGUACGCAGGCGGGUCGAUAAGUCCGUUGUGAAAUCCCGGGGCUCAACCCCGGAAAUGCGAUGGAGACUGCCGAUCUUGAGUACGGGAGAGGGGAGCGGAAUUCCUGGUGUAGAGGUGAAAUUCGUAGAUAUCAGGAGGAACACCGGUAGCGAAAGCGGCUCCCUGGCCCGAUACUGACGCUCAUGUACGAAAGCGUGGGGAGCAAACAGG